AUGCUUAAACUCAAAAUCUUAGGCCUGGCCGCGAUUGAUCAAGCACGGAAGCGCCAGGCAUCUAGGAUUACUUGGCUGCGGGCUGGAGACGCGCCAACCACCUUCUUCCAAGCGAAGAUCAAUGCCAGGAGACGGAAAGCAUUCAUCCACAUGCUCCAUGGCCCAUCAGGCGUAGUUACCAGGCAGGAGGACAAGGAAACCUUGAUCUACGACCACUUCUCCUCCUUGCUGGGUACGGCAGCGCACCGUGGCACAUCCAUUGGCUGGCGCUCACUAGACAUGCCCAGACUGCAGGGUGGAGGG
rnacentral:rRNA from 1 species